rnacentral:rRNA from 1 species
ACGAACGCUGGCGGCAUGCCUAACACAUGCAAGUCGAACGAGACCUUCGGGUCUAGUGGCGCACGGGUGCGUAACGCGUGGGAACCUGCCCUUAGGUUCGGAAUAACUCCCCGAAAGGGGUGCUAAUACCGGAUAAUGUCUUCGGACCAAAGAUUUAUCGCCUUUGGAUGGGCCCGCUUUGGAUUAGCUAGUUGGUAGGGUAAAAGCCUACCAAGGCGACGAUCCAUAGCUGGUCUGAGAGGAUGAUCAGCCACACUGGGACUGAGACACGGCCCAGACUCCUACGGGAGGCAGCAGUGGGGAAUAUUGGACAAUUGACGAAAGCCUGAUCCAGCAAUGCCGCGUGAGUGAUGAAGGCCUUAGGGUUGUAAAGCUCUUUUACCCGGGAUGAUAAUGACAGUGCCGGGAGGAUAAGCUCCGGCUAACACCGUG